AGAAUCUGCGAAGAGAAUCAUCUCCCUAUUCCUAUGCUUGGUUGACCCCAGGAGUAAGUUUCGUUAUGUUGGAACAGCAAAUUGUCUUCCAUUUUGAUGCUGGUUCACCUUUUGCCACCCUCUCAAGUCACCGUCACGUAAGACCGGGAAAGAUCUCAGCUAGGCAAACGUGAUCGUCUUGUGAAAUUCAUCAAGACUGUUACCAGUAUCCAAGGGCAGUUGGAUGGCAUUCGAGAGAGUCUCCAGCUGUAUCUACUUGUUGUUGGGCUGAUGAGAAGUAGGGUCCAGUCUUGUUUUAUUGUAAUUGUCCAAUAUGCUCUACUCUGUAAGACCUGUCCAUUGUGUAUAGCUUUCUGCAAAACACUGUCUAUGAUAUAGAUGCAGAAACCACCAAAUGAUCAUGAUCACAAGUGUAAUAUUGUAAAUGUAAGUGUAUUAUUUAAAUAGGAGAUUGAAAAAAUAAAAUUGUGAGACAUGAGUA